UGCAGGUGAGGCGAUGUCUACCUGAUGUCUUGCUGGCAACCAUGAAUGUGCUGCACAGUCAGUACAAGUCUGCAAGGAACACUGCUCCUCAGAGUCCACUGGUGCGAGGAAAGAACGCAGAUGGAGGAAAGGAAUCGUACUUGAGCUACUUGCGCAGCCAGGCCAAGGCACUGAUCAUGUUUGCAGGCAUGUUGCCGUAUCGGUUACCGGGGGAUACAUACGCCAGACUCGUGCAGGUUGAGGUGCUCAUGAACUGAAGGGGGGGGUCAAGAGGUAUUGCAUCACUCUAAGUGUGGGUGGGUGGGGGAGGGGGGCAGAACUGCAGCGGUAGGGGUGGAGAGCUGAUGUUGUGGAGUGAAGGACAAUAUACCACUAUUUGUGUUCUGCAGGAUUUGAUAACAUCCUCAAAAUGCCUGUCAAUCAGUCCUUUAUAAAAAAAAAAAAUUUAUGCUAAAGGGAUGAUAUCUUUUGAUAGCGCUUAAAUCAACAAUAAAUUGGUAGAAUGAUUGUUAUGCUCUUUGUAAUCAAAUUUUGUGGAUGAAAUUAUUUGAUACCAUUUAUAUCCAACAAUUACUUUAUUUUGUGUGGAUUUUGCCACAAUAUGACCAGUCCAAUUUAGGGUAAUUUUCUGGAACUUGACAUGAAAGCACUAUGAGCUUGUGGAAUUUUCAAAACAGAACUUAAUGAAUGUCCGCACAUGCUUAUUAGGUAUGAAACUUUUCUGCUUUUAUUGAAUUGUUUGUGUAACGGAAGUCUCUUCUUAACAAAAAUCAAGUUAUGGUGGGAAAAGUCAUCCCAGAUUAGCCUGUUCAGACUGCACACAGGUCCACAUAGCGUUAUGUUUUGGUUGAUAUCAUGUCAAUAGUGUCAUGUUAUCUACAUGCAUUAUUGUUGUUCAUUAUUACAGAAGUAUAAAAUAAAGAGAGAAAGGAA